UUCAGCCUUCCUAACCACCAGCAUGCUCCAC
rnacentral:piRNA from 1 species